GUGAAAGCACUCUGGCUAUGACGUCUGUCACCUCAUUGAUCGCCAGGGUUGAUUUGGCUGAUCUGGCUGGCUAGGCGGGUGUCACCUUCCUCCCUCACCCUACCGAAGCUGCACACUUGGUGGAAGAGGACAACGUGUUCCCUCACUAAUUCGCGGUUCACUUUUUGUGGAUUCGCUGUUUCACGGUUUUUCAAUAAACUCUAAAAGAAUAUUAUAAAUCAUAAAAAAUUACAACUUACAGCCUA
rnacentral:snRNA from 1 species